GCAGCCGCGGUAAUACGGAAGAUGCGAGCGUUAUCCGGAUUUAUUGGGUUUAAAGGGAGCGUAGGCGGACUUUUAAGUCAGCGGUAAAAUCGUGCGGCUCAACCGUGCCCUGCCGUUGAAACUGGUAGUCUUGAGUGUACACAGGGCAGGUGGAAUUUGUGGUGUAGCGGUGAAAUGCUUAGAUAUCACGAGGAACUCCGAUCGCGAAGGCAUCCUGCCGGGGUACGACUGACGCUGAGGCUCGAAAGUGUGGGUAUCAAACAGGAUUAGAUACCCC
rnacentral:rRNA from 1 species